rnacentral:rRNA from 1 species
UCCCCCCCACUCCGAUGAAGAUGACGGGUGGAACUUAAGCAUAUCAGUACGCCCAGGAGAAGACCACCAACCGGGAUUCCUUGAUUAGCGGCGAGCGAUCCAGGAGUAGUCCGACCUCGAAGCGAUGAGCGUUGUGAGGACUGGGGGAUGUCCUAAACCCGAAGAUGGGUUGAAACCCACACCAAGGAGGGUGCCAGUCCCGUAGGGAUGGACACAACCCCAACGACGAGUACCUCUGCUUGAGAGUGUAGAGGGAAGAGGAGGUGGUACCCUUCUAAGGCUAAAUACCGCCCCGAGACCGAUAGAGGACCAAGUAGUGCGAACGAAAGGUGAGAAGGAUGCCGACCCAGGCACGUCAAAAGACCCUGAACCCGGGAGGCGACUCCCGACCUGUCGAUGAUCGAUUGGUCGGGCCCGUCUCGAAACACGGACCGAGGAGUUAGGACCGAUCGCGAGUCAUGUGGCAAAGGGAAGUCAAGACUUCAAGGGGCCCCUUACAAGGGCAGAGCGAUCGGUCCUAGACCCGAAAGGUGGUGAUCUACACUUGACCAGGGUGAAGCCAGACGAAAGCCUGGUGGAGGCCCAUCCCGGUGCUGACGUGCAAAUCGCUCGGUCGAGUUGAGUGUAGGGGCGAAAGACUCAUCGAACCACCUGGUAGCUGGUUACCUCCGAAAUGUCUCCCAGGAUAGCCGACAUCAUGAACAGCUGCCCUAGGUAAGGCCACGAUCGGUGGGAGUAGGGAGGUCACUCCUUAUCCACCCCUCGAACCAUGAACAAGGGUGGAGCGGGGCCAACUUGUGUGGGCCCCCUCAAACAGUGUUGAUGUCGAGUGGGCCUCUCCUGGUAAGCAGGACGGGCAAGACGGGAUGAACCGACAGUCGGGGAAGGUGUGGAAGUGUAUGCUCGAUCAAACGGUGUCCGUCGAUCGUGACAGCUGGAAGGUGGCCUUAACAGUAGGAAGCCUCUAAGGAGUGUGUAACAACCCACCAGCCGAAUCGAGGGGCCCGGAAAAUGGAACACGCCGAAGCAUACGAUCGGAACCCGACCGAGAUGUGUCUCGGGUAGGAGGUCGUCAUGAUCGAGUCGAAGCCAUGGGGUGACACGUGGUGGAUCGAGUCAUGAUUGCUGAUCUCGGUAGUAGUAGCCAUUACUCCAUCUGGAGGCCUGACGUGGAGAUGGGUUCCGUAUCCCUGUCGAUCAGAUACGGGUGACACGAUCCUAAGUCCGAUGGUGUACGCCCGUACCAUGGGGUCAUCCUCACAGGACGAUAGGGCUGACCGGUUAACAUCCCGGUGGUAUGAUGGGGUCUUGGUGACAUCCUUUCACAACGGUACAUGAACGAAGCACAUGGUGGGAGUCAUCCCGUCCUACCCCAGUCCCCCCAUGGCCAGUAGUACUUCAGGUCGUGCAUGGCCAUGAUGGAUCACAUGUCCCUUCGGUCAUCCAUGAAACCCGUUGUGUCCCCCCCAUCCUGAUCGUACCACAACCGCAACAGGACUCCAAGGUGAUCAGCCUCUAGGCGGGAGAGACCAUGACUCAGGGAAGUCGGCAAACUAGCUCCGUAACCUCGGGAGAAGGAGUGGCUCUGAUCGAUCAGAACCGGCACGGACCGAGGGAUCCCGACUGUCUACUAACAACAUAGCGUCGUGCCAGUCGUCAUGGAUGCGUACACGACGUGAUUUCUGCCCAGUGCCAUGACCGUCACCAUGAAGAGGUUCAUCCAAGCCCUGGUAAACGGGCGGGAGUAACUAUGACUCUCUUAAGGUAGCCAAAUGCCUCGUC